UGAGGCUUUCACCCUAAGAGAAGAGGAAGAGUUGAGAGAAAAGAAAGAGAGAAUCGACCUUGAAAGCAAAAAGAGGGAAGAAAGGUGAAAAAAGAAAAGAGAAAGGAGAAAAAAGAAAAAAGCUUGGAGGAGGCUUGGUUUUGGAAAAGAUUGGAGAAAAGUCGAAAGGUUUUCUCUUGCAUGCCAUUGUUGGAGCUUGAAGGAGAAAGUGAAGGUUCAGCUUGGUGAUUCUAAGCUAAGAAAUAUCAAGGAAAAAGACUAGAAAUGACAAGGAAGAACAUGGAUCAUCCACGGGUUCAACCAAGUUAUGCAAAGAUCCUCCAAGAUUUGAAAUAAAUAAAUCCAUGCAUGUGGGUUGAUCUUAGAAGUAUGGUGAUUUUGAGCAAGACAAGUAAUGGUAAUGGUGACCAAGGAUGUGAGGAGUUUCUGAACUAUAUGUGCAAUCCAAGCUAAAGACCGAAAGGUAAGCCUACAAUGUGAGUACAUUAUGUUGUGUUGGCUUUGGUUGGUUGAAAGUAUGUGGAUUGCAUGAUAAAUUAUUAUG